rnacentral:tRNA from 1 species
UCCCUGGUGGCUCAGAGGGUAAAGCGUCUGCCUCCAAUGCAGGAGACCUGGGUUCGAUCCCUGGGUGGGGAA